rnacentral:misc_RNA from 1 species
GCUUAUGCGCAGAACCGCUCGAUGCGCGGCUUGGAGAAACACACGGAGUGUUCUCCGUAGUCGGGAUAUAUCGUACGUCGUGUUGAAAUAAUACGCGCAACGUAGCAUCGUCGAAUGUCUUUCAUUAUUACAAAAAAAAAAAAGAUAUUGUUACACGUGUGUAAAAAUAUAAGUGUUCAAUAGUAGAAAAUACAUUGAAAAGCAUAAAAACGCGAAAAUGGCCGAGAACGAGCAAAAGGCGAUGCAACUAAUCGCGGAGGCGGAGAAAAAAUUGGGCUCAUCCAAAGGAUUCUUUGGCUCUCUGUUCGGUGGAUCAUCCAAAGUGGAAGAAGCUGUAGAAUGUUAUCAACGAGCAGCAAAUAUGUUCAAGAUGGCAAAAAAGUGGCCUUCGGCAGGUGCUGCUUUUUGCGAAGCUGCUACUCUUCAUUCCAAAGCUGGAAGUCGUCACGAUGCUGCUACCAAUUAUGUUGAUGCUGCUAACUGUUACAAAAAGACCGAUCCCAAUGAGGCGGCCAAUUGUUUAGUGAAAGCUAUAGAAAUCUACACAGACAUGGGUAGAUUUACAAUGGCUGCGAAGCAUCAUCAAAGUAUAGCUGAGAUGUACGAAAGUGAAGCGGUUGAUCUAGAAUUAGCCGUACAUCAUUAUGAACAGGCCGCUGAUUACUUUCGAGGUGAAGAAAGCAUCUCUUCGGCCAAUAAAUGCUUGUUGAAAGUUGCUCAGUAUGCAGCUCAGCUGAAGAACUAUGACAAAGCCAUACAGAUUUACGAACAGGUUGCAUCUGCAUCUCUAGAGAGUCCUUUGCUUAAAUAUAGUGCUAAGGAAUAUUUCUUUAGGGCAGCGCUCUGUAAUCUUUGCGUUGAUCCCCUGAAUGCUCAGCACGCGAUCGAACGUUAUCAGGAACAAUACCCCGCAUUCCAGGAUUCACGAGAAUAUAAACUCGUAAAGUCUUUGAUCGAUCUCCUGGAAGAGCAGGAUUUGGAAGGUUUUACCGCAACCGUUACGGAUUACGACUCGAUUUCGCGAUUAGAUCCUUGGUACACGUCGAUGUUGUUACGCAUAAAAAAACAGAUCAACGACAAUCCCGAUUUGCGCUGAUCGAACUUCAUGGCGAAACAAUUUGUUAUAUCGUCGUUACUCUUCCUCCUACCCCCUUCGAGUUUCCUCGCCUGCUCCUGAACGAUACUUCUCACAAAACUCUAAAUGCAUUUAAAAUACAGUUUGACAGCCGACGUAUAAAACGUAUUGCGUCAUUGAAAUUUUUAUCGUUCCGAUGCAUCGAAAGUUCGCUCGUUUAUUUUAUUUCAUUUUUCGGAAUUUGUCCAAUUUUUUCAAAUUAAUUUUAUUCUUCGAGUUCCGAUCUCAAAGAAAUUCUGUCUCAUGUUCGAAAAAAUAUGCAAAAAAUAUACUUGUUUUACGAAAAAAAAAAUUGUCGCACUCGAACGAUGCAAACGUUACGUCGUAACAUUUACGUGUGUGUGCGUUCUACUUGAUCGAGCAACGAGCUUGAACUGUUCAUGACUUAUCGAUUUUAUCGUUUAAAACUGGAUUCAUGUUCACUUUGGGAUUCUGUAACGAAAUCCCACGGAGUCUCGAUCUUUUAUGCAUCACUGACUCGUCUGAGUAAUUCGCGAGAAACUUAACACGAGCGAGGGUCACAAAGAAGAGAAAGAGCGAGAACUAUACCGCGUAGGAGUCUUUAUUCUUUUUCUAUUUUUAUUUUUUGAACAUAAUUCUAUCUUUUGUUAUCCGGGUAACCAUUAAAUCGCACCAUUAUUUAUUGUAUAUCUUUGCUGAUGUAAUUAUUUCACAAAUACUGUUAACGACGUCUUAGAUCAUGUUGUUCAAAGUUUGCAACUUUGAAAUGCAAUAAAGAUCUUUUCUGUCAAUUUUCGAUUUACCAACUUCCGCAAAGAAUAAAGAAUAAUUCGUUUUUUUUUAACUGAUUUUCACUGUAGACUCGUUGAUACUGUAUGUCUGAGAGAAAAAAAGAAUCUCGAAAAAGUCGACCAUCUUCAAAAAGGACAUCAACGAAUAUUGAUAAAGAAUCGUUAGUGCAUUCCAAAGAUGCAAUAUUGAACAUCAUUUUAGAUCAUUAAUCGUUGCAAGUACGUAGUAAACGUGUUUAUCAUCAAACACUGAGAUAAUUCAAUAAGUGUGAGCGGAAGAUAGACAGAAAGAGAGAGAAAGAGAGACAACGUACGAAAGAAGCUUCGACUAGGGAUCGUGAUUUAAGCGCUUCAAAGUAGGAAAAAUAUAGGAAAACGGCUCUUGUAUUCUUUGAUAAUUAAGUGAUAAUUACUGCCCGUUUCUGCCGACGGGACCGUGAGAAAACGGCUUUAAAAAUUUAGAUACUCAAUAUUUUACGACUUUCUCAUAUCUGUGGCAAAAAUGAUAAUCGUUAAAAUUUUGUUUUCGAAACUGAACAAUGAGCAAAACGACAGUUUCCAAAAAUGACAUGUUUUAUCUCGAGAUUUUUUAUUUCUUGAGGCUGAGGGGAAAGGGGAAGGGGCAAAUCGUCAAGUCUGCACUUAUUAUAUGCCUACAUUGUUGAAGAAUCAAGAAGGAGGAUUAAUCAUUGCAUCGACCACAUUUUUCAAACUAGAAGAGAAAAUAAUGAAAGAGAUAAAAGAUUUCUAUUCGUAGAGAAGUUUCAUCUUCGGGCUAUUAUUAACGAUGAAACAAUUAAUCGUAGAUUUAACACCCACGUGCAUAAAUAUACGAUCAAAUAUGUAUUACAUAAACAAAAACAAACAACACAUCCAUGUGUAUGUAUUCUCGCAUACGCUAAUAAAAAUAAAAAAUCGCCACGGAUUUUUUCUUCGCCUGUAUCGUCACUAUUUGUGAUUCGGAUAAAAGUGGACUAAGCUUAGUAAUGAAUCAAUAAAAUGUUAUGUACUGUAGGGCAUACAUAUAUAUUCAUUAUAAUUCAAUUGACUCAA